UACGAAGGGGGCUAGCGUUGCUCGGAAUGACUGGGCGUAAAGGGCGCGUAGGCGGCGGAGGCAGUCAGGCGUGAAAUUCCUGGGCUCAACCUGGGGGCUGCGCUUGAUACAUCUCUGCUAGAGGCCAGGAGAGGCUCGUGGAAUUCCCAGUGUAGAGGUGAAAUUCGUAGAUAUUGGGAAGAACACCGGUGGCGAAGGCGGCGAGCUGGUCUGGUACUGACGCUGAGGCGCGACAGCGUGGGGAGCAAACAGG
rnacentral:rRNA from 1 species